rnacentral:rRNA from 1 species
UGGGGAAUAUUGCACAAUGGAGGAAACUCUGAUGCAGCGACGCCGCGUGAGCGAUGAAGGCCUUCGGGUCGUAAAGCUCUGUCCUAUGGGACGAUAAUGACGGUACCAUAGGAGGAAGCCCCGGCUAACUACGNG